rnacentral:tRNA from 1 species
GGUCGCAUAGCUCAGCUGGUUAGAGCAUCGUCUUCACAUGGCGGGGGUCCCCGGUUCGAGUCCGGGUGCGACCA